AGUGAACGCUGGCGGUAGGCCUAACACAUGCAAGUCGAACGGCAGCACAGUAAGAGCUUGCUCUUACGGGUGGCGAGUGGCGGACGGGUGAGGAAUACAUCGGAAUCUACUUUUUCGUGGGGGAUAACGUAGGGAAACUUACGCUAAUACCGCAUACGACCUACGGGUGAAAGCAGGGGAUCUUCGGACCUUGCGCGAUUGAAUGAGCCGAUGUCGGAUUAGCUAGUUGGCGGGGUAAAGGCCCACCAAGGCGACGAUCCGUAGCUGGUCUGAGAGGAUGAUCAGCCACACUGGAACUGAGACACGGUCCAGACUCCUACGGGGGACAGCAGUGGGGAAUAUUGGACAAUGGGCGCAAGCCUGAUCCAGCCAUACCGCGUGGGUGAAGAAGGCCUUCGGGUUGUAAAGCCCUUUUGUUGGGAAAGAAAAGCAGCAGGUUAAUACCCCGCUGUUCUGACGGUACCCAAAGAAUAAGCACCGGCUAACUUCGUG
rnacentral:rRNA from 1 species